GGGCACAUGGUGUAGUUGGUUAUCACGCCCGCUUAGCAUUAAGUUGUCUGCGGGCGGUCCCCGGUUCAAUUCCGGGUGUGUCCA
rnacentral:tRNA from 1 species